rnacentral:rRNA from 1 species
AGUGAACGCUGGCGGUAGGCCUAACACAUGCAAGUCGAACGGCAGCACAGUAAGAGCUUGCUCUUACGGGUGGCGAGUGGCGGACGGGUGAGGAAUACAUCGGAAUCUACUUUUUCGUGGGGGAUAACGUAGGGAAACUUACGCUAAUACCGCAUACGACCUACGGGUGAAAGCAGGGGAUCUUCGGACCUUGCGCGAUUGAAUGAGCCGAUGUCGGAUUAGCUAGUUGGCGGGGUAAAGGCCCACCAAGGCGACGAUCCGUAGCUGGUCUGAGAGGAUGAUCAGCCACACUGGAACUGAGACACGGUCCAGACUCCUACGGGAGGCAGCAGUGGGGAAUAUUGGACAAAGGGUGCAAGCCUGAUCCAGCCAUACCGCGUGGGUGAAGAAGGCCUUCGGGUUGUAAAGCCCUUUUGUUGGGAAAGAAAAGCAGCAGGUUAAUACCCCGCUGUUCUGACGGUACCCAAAGAAUAAGCACCGGCUAACUUCGUG